GACACGCAUACCAGCGCAAAAGUCGAGCGCAGCGAAAAUGCGGCGAAAAAGAGGCAGCUGAGAGAGCGGCGAAUACGAAUACUUGGACAUAUUUAUCGAUUGAGUGGCAAAGAAGAAGAGCACAAGAGAGCGGCAGACAACUGGUCGCUUAAUUAAUUUGCUGAAAUAAACAUCUUGGGCUUUGUUCUGAAACGGAUCAGGAGCACAGAAAUUACAUUCUGAGUAACUAACGAAGGAAGUAACAAGAAAACAUCUAACUAGAUUUCGAUUAUCACUGCCCCACUAUGCGCACUUAUAAUUCCCAAUCGGCUGUAAAAUUGAAUGAAAGGAUAUGCCAGGAUUUUGGAUCCUUCGCUGCAGUGGGGAUGGAUAUUCGUUAAGGAUCUGGCUCUACUUACUGCAUGUUUUGACGCCGCCCAGCACCAAACUCGGCGACUGUUUGUUGCCCUCGGCGAAGGAGGAAGUUCUUGGACGACCGCUCAUCGUAACGCCUGCUGCUGCUUUGCUUCCGGUGCUCCUUCCUUGGUCGGCUUUUAUAACUCUUUGGAGCUGGCUUGCUGUUGGUUCUGAAGUGAUUAUCUCAGCUAAUUGGUAGCUCAGCUGGCUUCGAUAUAUCUGCGUUGCUCGUGGCCGCGGUGUUGUUAUUGCUGCGAUUUCGGUUUUAUUGCCACUACAAAAUAACGAGUAUGUCAAAAAAACCACGUUUUACAGCUACUUCUUCGGCUGCUGCGUUUUUCUACUGCACUGCAAGGCCAUUGGCAUGCAGCAGUGUUGUUUCGAGUAUUUUGGCAAGAAUCAACUUAGUUCUGUAUUUCCGGCUUCUCUUUUCAAACACACAAACUCGUCAACGGCUCAACAAUUGUAACUGUUCAUUGG